rnacentral:rRNA from 1 species
UACAGAGGUCCCGAGCGUUGUUCGGAUUCACUGGGCGUAAAGGGUACGUAGGUGGCUUUGUAAGUCUCGAUUAAAGAAUCUAAGCAUAACUUAGAAAUUAUUCUUGAUACUGCUAAGCUCGAGGUCGAAAGAGGUUAGUUAUAUUCUUGAAGUAAAAGUAAAAUCUUUAGAUAUUAAGAGGAUAACCAAGUGGUUAAUGCGACUUUCUGGUUCGACGCUGACGCUGAGGUACGAAGCAUGGGUAGUCAAAC